UACGUAGGGGCCGAGCGUUGUCCGGAGUUACUGGGCGUAAAGCGCGCGCAGGCGGCCCGCUGCGCCCGGCGUGAAAGCCCCCGGCUCAACCGGGGAACGGCGUCGGGGACGGGCGGGCUUGAGGGCGGCAGGGGCUGGUGGAAUGCCCGGUGUAGUGGUGAAAUGCGUAGAGAUCGGACGGAACACCCGUGGCGAAGGCGGCCAACUGGGCCGACCCUGACGCUGAGGCGCGAAGGCGUGGGGAGCGAACGGGAUUAGAAACCCCGGUAGUCC
rnacentral:rRNA from 1 species